AGUGAACGCUGGCGGUAGGCCUAACACAUGCAAGUCGAACGGCAGCACAGUAAGAGCUUGCUCUUACGGGUGGCGAGUGGCGGACGGGUGAGGAAUACAUCGGAAUCUACUUUUUCGUGGGGGAUAACGUAGGGAAACUUACGCUAAUACCGCAUACGACCUACGGGUGAAAGCAGGGGAUCUUCGGACCUUGCGCGAUUGAAUGAGCCGAUGUCGGAUUAGCUAGUUGGCGGGGUAAAGGCCCACCAAGGCGACGAGCCGUAGCUGGUCUGAGAGGAUGAUCAGCCACACUGGAACUGAGACACGGACCAGACUCCUACGAGAGGCAGCAGUGGGGAAUAGUGGACAAUGGGCGCAAGCCUGAUCCAGCCAUACCGCGUGGGUGAAGAAGGCCUUCGGGUUGUAAAGCCCUUUUGUUGGGAAAGAAAAGCAGCAGGUUAAUACCCCGCUGUUCUGACGGUACCCAAAGAAUAAGCACCGGCUAACUUCGUG
rnacentral:rRNA from 1 species